GGGGGCCCGGCGGCCCCGAGCUCGGCGGCACGGCCCCGAAACUAAAAGCGAAAGCGGCGGGCGCUGCCUCCUGCUCCGCCGGGCUGCCGCGCUCUGCCCGCGGCUGACGUCAAGGGCCCAAAUUCCUGUCUUUCCCUGCAGGCAGAUUUGUCCAUCUGGGGCGAAGGACAAGGUGAGGGGAGGUAAAAGGUGCUGGGAGUUCCAAAGGAGCUGCCUGCUCAGAGAUUCAGAACAAAACCUGUCGAGAAUAUUAAGGAGAGGGGGAAGGGAAACUAUUUUCUGAUUGCUUUCUGUUUGAUUGUUUUGUGGCUAUUUCUAAGGACUGCAAUUAAAAUAAUUGGGAUUUUUAGUGUGAUUGUUUUUAUAAUGGAAUGUUACCCUUUAAGUAGCUGUUCAGUAUCUGCAUCUGCCCUGAAGAGAAGGGGAAGACAGAAGGGUUACAUUGUGUUCAGGCUGUGAAGGGAAGCACUGCCAAGCCUUACUCAUUUGGAAAGAGAUUUCUGGAUGAGUUUUUAGGCACUUUAAAUGUAUUUCAUUUUUACAAUAAAGGGCUCUGCUGUUUGCUUUCA